rnacentral:lncRNA from 1 species
GGAGUUAGGUUUUGAUUUUAUGAUUUCAUAAUAAUUGCUUUGAAAUUCGUGCUUCCGCCUUGACACCAAACCUUUCAGUGGUAUCAGAGCCACCUUGUUAGAAUUAAAUCAUAUGAUGAUAUGUUAAUGAUUUAAUGGAAAUAUUAUAAAUAUGAUAUGAUCAUAAUUUAUAAUUUUUAUAUGAUAUUAAUAUGAUGAGAUCAUAUUCAUUAUUUCAUAAUUAAAUUGUGAUGUA